rnacentral:rRNA from 1 species
UACGAAGGGGGCAAGCGUUGUUCGGAAUUACUGGGCGUAAAGGGCGCGCAGGCGGCUGAUCAAGUCAGAUGUGAAAGCCCCGGGCUCAACCUGGGAAUAGCAUUUGGGACUGGUCGGCUAGAGUUCGGGAGAGGAGAGUGGAAUUCCCAGUGUAGAGGUGAAAUUCGUAGAUAUUGGGAAGAACACCGGUGGCGAAGGCGACUGACUGGACAAGUAUUGACGCUGAGGUGCGAAAGCGUGGGGAGCAAACAGG